UAGAGGAAGUAAAAGUCGUAACAAGGUUUCCGUAGGUGAACCUGCGGAAGGAUCAUUACACUCAGUAGAUUUCUACUGCUCGGGGGGAGCGGAAAGUGCUUUUGCACGAGUACGCUCUCUUUCUGAAACCCUUGUCUUUUUGCGUACUUCUGUUUCCUCGGCGGGUUCGCCCGCCGGCUGGACAACUCAAUAACCUUUUUAAUUUUCAAUCAGCGUCUGAAUAAUUAUAAUAAUUACAACUUUCAACAACGGAUCUCUUGGUUCUGGCAUCGAUGAAGAACGCAGCGAAAUGCGAUAAGUAGUGUGAAUUGCAGAAUUCAGUGAAUCAUCGAAUCUUUGAACGCACAUUGCGCCCCUUGGUAUUCCAUGGGGCAUGCUUGUUCGAGCGUCAUUUGUACUCUCAAGCUUUGCUUGGUGUUGGGUGUUUGUCCUUUCCUUGUGGUUGGACUCGCCUUAAAUUCAUUGGCAGCCAAAGUAUUGGUUUGAAGCGCAGCACAAUUUGCGAUUCUGACUGGUAUUGUUAGCGUCCAGUAAGCACAUUUAACACUUUUGACCUCGGAUCAAGUAGGGAUACCCGCUGAACUUAAGCAUAUCA
rnacentral:rRNA from 1 species